UACGAAGGGUGCUAGCGUUGUUCGGAAUUACUGGGCGUAAAGCGCACGUAGGCGGAUAUUUAAGUCAGGGGUGAAAUCCCAGAGCUCAACUCUGGAACUGACUUUGAUACUGGGUAUCUUGAGUAUGGAAGAGGUGAGUGGAAUUCCGAGUGUAGAGGUGAAAUUCGUAGAUAUUCGGAGGAACACCAGUGGCGAAGGCGGCUCACUGGUCCAUUACUGACGCUGAGGUGCGAAAGCGUGGGGAGCAAACAGG
rnacentral:rRNA from 1 species